AUGCAUCGUCGGUUUUUGAAUGUGAUAGUACAGGACUUGAGCACUCGCAUCAAUUCGUUGUACCUCGUCGACCUUUGGAAGCAUCUCUUCUGCCGGUCAACAGGAAAAGCAGAAGCUGCAGAAGAUGCAAAACUGGAGAAGAAAAAUCCAGCAGCGUUGAUAGAUCCCUUGAAGUUGCAUAAGCCGCAACUCAGGUUUGGAUCAUUUCUCCUCUCUGCUCUGUUGACAGAGAACUGCCUCCUGCUGGCAGACUCUACUCACAGUGCAUUUCUCUACGACAACGACUUAAACUCGGUCCAACCCAUUCAAUCUAUGAAUUUUCCCAAAGGACCUAAUUGCGUCUGCUUCUCUGCACCCCAAGCUAACCCCUUAGACUCUCACCGCUACUAUAUACUGGACCUGUCACCGGCCUCCACUAUCAAUUCUCCCUUUAGGGUCCUCAGCUACCGCUCUAAUAGUUUCUCCUCCGAAUCCCAUGUAAAAUCUAACUACACCAAUUCAUUCUACUGGGAUACUCUCCCAGUACCACCAUUUCUAGGCGAUGACUAUGGAAGAACCAUUGACAUUUGUUCCUCCAUGAUGAUCAAUGGCUCGACCAUAUGCAUAUCCUCUGUCGAGAAGGGCGUUGGCACCUACACCUUUGAUAUAGUGACAAAGUUAUGGACUCAGGCUGGCAAUUGGGUGCUGCCCUUCUACGGCAAAGCAGAGUAUGUUCCCGAGCUCAACCUUUCGUUCGCUCUAUCUGCUGACAGCCCCCACCGCUUGUGCGCUUUAACCUGCACUUCAAUGCACCAUGGGGGCCCACCAGCAUUGCAGCAUACUUUUGAUGAGCUCGACCUGCCGGAGAAUUGGUCGCCAUACAAGUGCCACCUGGUUAACCUGGGCUCAGGCAACUUUUGCAUCAUUUCCUUCUGUAAGACCAUGAACUGUGAGUUUGCCGUCUUCACCGGCGUGGAGGUGAAACCCUGCAUCAAUGGCGACGGUCCUCUCCGGAUGAUCAAGCACCUGUCUAAGAGUUUCAGCCUUGGAUCUCAUAGCAUCAAAAGUGUGCUCUGA
rnacentral:rRNA from 1 species